rnacentral:rRNA from 1 species
UACGUAGGGUGCAAGCGUUGUCCGGAAUUAUUGGGCGUAAAGAGUUCGUAGGCGGUUUGUCGCGUCUGCUGUGAAAACUCAGGGCUUAACCCUGAGCCUGCAGUGGGUACGGGCAGACUAGAGUGUGGUAGGGGAGAUCGGAAUUCCUGGUGUAGCGGUGGAAUGCGCAGAUAUCAGGAGGAACACCGGUGGCGAAGGCGGAUCUCUGGGCCAUAACUGACGCUGAGGAACGAAAGCAUGGGGAGCGAACAGG